rnacentral:rRNA from 1 species
CCUACGGGGGGCUGCAGUGGGGAAUAUUGCACAAUGGGCGCAAGCCUGAUGCAGCCAUGCCGCGUGUGUGAAGAAGGCCUUCGGGUUGUAAAGCACUUUCAGCGGGGAGGAAGGCGUUAAGGUUAAUAACCUUGUCGAUUGACGUUACCCGCAGAAGAAGCACCGGCUAACUCCGUGCCAGCAGCCGCGGUAAUACGGAGGGUGCAGGCGUUAAUCGGAAUUACUGGGCGUAAAGCGCACGCAGGCGGUCUGUCAAGUCGGAUGUGAAAUCCCCGGGCUCAACCUGGGAACUGCAUUCGAAACUGGCAGGCUAGAGUCUUGUAGGGGGGGGUAGAAUUCCAGGUGUAGCGGUGAAAUGCGUAGAGAUCUGGAGGAAUACCGGUGGCGAAGGCGGCCCCCUGGACAAAGACUGACGCUCAGGUGCGAAAGCGUGGGGAGCAAACAGGAUUAGAUACCCGAGUAGUC